rnacentral:misc_RNA from 1 species
GUGAAUCAUCGAAUCUUUGAACGCACCCUGCACUCUCUGGUAUUCCGGAGAGCAUGCCUGUUUGAGGGUCAGUUUAUAUACAAAUCGGUGUGGUUUCUGCCUUUCCUUGUGACGUGCAGGUUUUGGGUUGUCCUGCCUGCGGUUAAGUGACUUACACUUUUGCAUGGUUUUUUCGAACGUAUUUAGCUGCCUUUACGUACGUUUGCGAUAUCUAAUCCUAGGAUUGGUCAUCCUCAUGAUUCUCGCCUUUAAUUUUUCAUC